rnacentral:tRNA from 1 species
GCAGUCGUGGCCGAGUGGUUAAGGCGAUGACUUGAAAUCCAUUGGGGUCUCCCCGCGCAGGUUCGAAUCCUGCCGGCUGCG